UUUCCGUAGGUGAACCUGCGGAAGGAUCAUUCAUAAUAAAGUGUUUUAUGGCACUUUUUAAAAAUCCAUAUCCACCUUGUGUGCAAUGUUAGAUCUCGUCAAUCUUGGCGAGAUUUUUAUACAUCAACUCAUUCUUUAACUAAUUUGUCUGAAAAAUAUUAUGAAUACUUAAUUCAAAAUACAACUUUCAACAACGGAUCUCUUGGCUCUCGCAUUGAUGAAGAACGCAGC
rnacentral:misc_RNA from 1 species